CGUCGACAAAGGUGCAACUUAAACAUAUGAGUUACUAGAUACUUUGAUCACUCGGAAGAGAACGGAGUGAAAUUACUUGCUCAUAUAAUCGCAGUGACCGGAUUUACACAUUUGCAGGAUAAAAGUAAACUUAGUCCAAUCGUGGAUACCAUCUAAUAGCGUCGACAGCAAUUUUUUCUUCCUCUGGGACAAGAACCCCUACAACAUGGCACGAGUUAGUCUAAGCGUCGGAUGGCACACACAUGCGACAAUGGACACGUGCUUCCACUGCACAAACCAAGACGAGCACCAACAGUAUGAAAAUUGACAGUUUCAUCUCGAACACUUUGAGUGAACUUGGAAAUCGGUCGUUUUUAUACGAAUCCCUCCACUCGAGAUAGUCACCUAAAAAAAACCCUUGUUUAUUGUUUACUUUUUAUCAAUUGGUGUUAUCUCUAGAAGU